rfam:Triticum aestivum genome assembly, contig: Triticum_aestivum_CS42_TGACv1_scaffold_622528_7DS
AAACUAUUCCCUCCGUUCGGAAUUACUUGUCUCGAAAAUGGAUGUAUCUAGAACUAAAAUACGUCUAGAUACAUCCAUUUCUGCGACAAAUAAUUCCGAACAGAGGGAGUAGUAG